rnacentral:misc_RNA from 1 species
CUGCUGAACAUGCUCUGAACCCAGCUUCUUCCAACAACAGAAGCCUCAGCAGGUUGCUGAUUCUGAUCAGAUCCAUCUUUGGGACGCGGAGAUGGCAAUGCAUGGGCAGAUAUGGAUUGCAACUUAACAGAAGAGAGUCCCCAAUAACUAAUGCGCAGCUGCUGGAUAUGGGAUAAGAAACCUCGGAGCUUUAUGAGUUGCUUGUAUCCAAUGCUGUUCUUCUCCGCAAUUGUCUCAAUCAUGUACCAAGCAUCAGUAUCAGGAAGCCCAAG